ensembl:lncRNA
CGCUGCACAACAUCUUCACACACUGACAAGUGUGACAUCAUAUACCUCUAUAAAUAAAUGGCGGAAUAUUCUGUGAUGUCCAGUUCGCUGGGCAGUUACGUUCCAAUAGAACAAAUGUCUGAAGCCAUAAGAGAAACAUGUGCAGAGCAGGGGGGCGCAAGGAUUGGAAUUGAGAACCACUACUCUACACUGCUCAAAACUCGCGUUUGAAUCAUCAGUAGCAAGUUCUUUACAUAGCUAAACGUACUUACUUCUCUCCCAGGAUCAGGAAACAGUCCUCCAUAAAAUGUGCUGCACACAUCUGAAUAUUUGGGUUAAACUGUUCUGAAACAGUGUUGUAAACACAACUUAACCACUGAUUUUUAGUCAUGUCAUCUUUUGGAAGGCCAAACAAAGAAUUUUCUCCAGACAUGGCACCGGCAGCAACAGCGAGAAUCAAAGGGUGGACAGGAGAAGGAAAAAACGUGACAUUUCAUGGAGGUGUCCUGGAAGAGCUUAAAGGAAAGCUUCUGCAGAUAUGACAGCAGUUGUCAUGUUCGGUCUCUGUGGGUGGCACAGGGAGGCACAGAACAGAAAGUAAAGCAAGUGUCUGGACUCUUCUUUAGAAUGACUGACAUGUUGGGAACACAGAGAAACUCUAGAGAGAGGAUAUAAGAACACAUUAGCUCUGUUUUAAAAUAGUGAGCUCCCCCGCUG